ACUCAGGCUUCUGCUGGUUGUGACGCCAUCAUCCUCUCCCGCACCCAACACCGAGCCACACUACACCUCCUCGUUAUACAUGGACACAAUUAUCCCUCUAAUCGUGUUUUUAUCGUUGUAAAUAUUGAGGGGAUGAGACCAGGGCCAUAUUGGUGUUGCAGUUUGAGAUAAUUGCUAUCAUUAACUCCCUAACCGCAGAUAAUGUUGAGAUAAUAACAGUGUACCAACCGUGUGACUCUUGAACAUAACUGACCGCUGUGACCUGAAGGAAUUAUUACCCAGUUAAAGGGCCGGAUAACAUGAAAAACAGAUCCGGCUGAGACUUUCUUUCCGUAGAGCGACACUGAAGGGGUUACCUUACGUGGUGUUGCUCCGUGUCCCUUGUGAGGGGGACCCGUGUGUGUGUGGUGCAGGGUGGUGAUAGUCACACACCCACCACCACCAUCAUCAUCACUACCACCACCGAAGGAAACAAGGAUGUGUGUGUAGCCUGAGAGAUCUGGAGGCCACACCACCACCACUACUACUACCACAAUCUACCACAACUACCAGUACUACCACAACUACCAGUACUACCACCACCAUGAUUGUGAUCAGAAGAGAAGCCCGUCAUGUCGGUGUCGUCCAUUAUCCACGGGUCCCAACAACGAUCUUGGACCCCAGGUGAGUUUUACGGAGAGGACCACAACAGUGCUAUACUCAGGU